UACGGAGGGUGCAAGCGUUAAUCGGAUUUACUGGGCGUAAAGCGCACGUAGGCGGUUCGUUAAGUCGGAUGUGAAAUCCCCGGGCUCAACCUGGGACCUGCAUUCGAUACUGGCGAACUCGAGUACGAGAGAGGGGGGUGGAAUUCCAGGUGUAGCGGUGAAAUGCGUAGAUAUCUGGAGGAACACCGGUGGCGAAGGCGGCCCCCUGGCUCGAUACUGACGCUGAGGUGCGAAAGCGUGGGGAGCAAACAGG
rnacentral:rRNA from 1 species